rnacentral:ncRNA from 2 species
CAGGCUCUUGAACUGACAGGUUUGCCACAUUUGUGGUAGGGAAGGGGGUGAGAAUCCCCCGCAGCCCCCGCUGCUGUGAUGCUGACGACCCCGUAUGGACCACUGAUCGCAAGAUUGGGAAGGACGGGUGAGGAUGACGCUAAGCCAGAAGACCUGCCUGUCAGUGACUACCAAC